ACGGGUGAGAAACGCGUAGGAAUCUGCCCUUGAGAGUGGGAUAACCCGAGGAAACUCGGGCUAAUACCGCAUAAACUCGGAAGAGAAAAGGCUAGGUAGAAAUAUCUGGAGCUUGAGGAGGAGCCUGCGUCCGAUUAGCUAGUUGGUUAGGUAAAAGCUGACCAAGGCGAUGAUCGGUAGCUGGUCUGAGAGGAUGAUCAGCCACACUGGGACUGAGACACGGCCCAGACUCCUACGGGAGGCAGCAGUGGGGAAUAUUGGACAAUGGGGGCAACCCUGAUCCAGCAAUGCCGCGUGUGUGAAGAAGGCCUUCGGGUUGUAAAGCACUUUAGGUUGGGAGGAAGGCGUGGAGUUUAAGAGAUACCACGUUUGACUGUACCGACAGAAUAAGCACCGGCUAACUCUGUGCCAGCAGCCGCGGUAAUACAGAGGGUGCGAGCGUUAAUCGGAAUUACUGGGCGUAAAGGGCGCGUAGGUGGUUAUGUAAGCUAGAUGUGAAAUCCCUGGGCUUAACCUAGGAAGGUCAUCUAGGACUGCAUAACUGGAGUACGGUAGAGGGUAGUGGAAUUUCCGGUGU
rnacentral:rRNA from 1 species